UUGUUUGAAGCUGUUGGCCC
rnacentral:piRNA from 1 species